AUACGGAGGGGGCUAGCGUUGUUCGGAAUUACUGGGCGUAAAGCGUACGUAGGCGGACUGAUCAGCUGGGGGUGAAAUCCCAGGGCUUAACCCUGGAACUGCCUUCAAUACUGUCAAUCUCGAGUUUGGGAGAGGUGAGUGGAAUUCCUAGUGUAGAGGUGAAAUUCAUAGAUAUUAGGAGGAACACCAGUGGCGAAGGCGGCUCACUGGCCCAUUACUGACGCUGCGGUACGAAAGCGUGGGGAGCAAACAGGAUUAGAAACCCUAGUAGUCC
rnacentral:rRNA from 1 species